GACGAACGCUGGCGGCGUGCUUAACACAUGCAAGUCGUGCGGUAAGGCCCUUUCGGGGGUACACGAGCGGCGAACGGGUGAGUAACACGUGAGCAACCUGCCCUUCACUUUGGGAUAACUGCCGGAAACGGUGGCUAAUACCGGAUAUGACUUCCUCACGCAUGUGGGGUGGUGGAAAGCUUUCGGGUGGUGGGGGAUGGGCUCGCGGUCUAUCAGCUUGUUGGUGGGGUGGUGGCCUACCAAGGCUUCGACGGGUAGCCGGCCUGAGAGGGUGACCGGCCACGCUGGGACUGGGAGACGGCCCAGACUACUACGGGAGGCAGCGGGGGGGAGUGUUAGACAAGGGGCGGAAGCAUGGUCCAACAACGCCGCGUGGGGGAUGAGGGCCUGCGGGUUGUAAACCACUUUCGCCUGCGACGAAGCGAGAGUGACGGUAGCAGGUAAAGAAGCACCGGCCAACUACGUG
rnacentral:rRNA from 1 species